rnacentral:rRNA from 1 species
CGUAGGUGCGAGCGUUGUCCGGAAUUACUGGGCGUAAGAGCUCGUAGGCGGUUUGUCGCGUCGUCUGUGAAAUCCCGCAGCUCAACUGCGGGCUUGCAGGCGAUACGGGCAAACUCGAGUACUGCAGGGGAGACUGGAAUUCCUGGUGUAGCGGUGAAAUGCGCAGAUAUCAGGAGGAACACCGGUGGCGAAGGCGGUCUCUGGGCAGUAACUGACGCUGAGGAGCGAAAGCGUGGGUAGCGAACAGGAUU